GGAAAGUUUUACAAUUUUUUAGUUGAGUGGAAUCUCUGUGGCAAUAUGGGGGGCUUCAUGAUGAAAAAUUCUUCCAAGGCAGUGCUGUAGGACCAGCAGGUUAGUCCCAUGUAUUUCCUCAUCCUCACACACUUACACAGGCAGCUCCUUGUAAAACGUGGCAUAAGCCUUCCUCCAAGCUCACACAGAGAACAUGCUGGACAAAACAGCUUUUUAUCUAAGCUCUGUGGGCCACGUACGUGAAAUAAAGUUGCCAAACACAAAUUAAUGUGUAAUUAUUUUUCUUGCCUGAAUCACUUUCUUUCAUGUGUCAUAACAUGCAGAGUAAAUAGCACCACACCUUUUUACUUUAAUUGUGGUAAUCUGAUCUCUCAGCCACAAGAAAGCCUUCCCUAAUGCCUUCUUUAGAAUGGACUUUCAAGGCGAAGUGAGAGCAGUAACUGUAAUAAUCACCUCUUCUUUUCUUUUGCUGUCAAAAGGCAGGGGGGUUGUUAAAACUAAUCAAGAACCAGGACCACACUGCAAAAAAUAAGUGCCCUAAAAGACAAGUGGAGGAACCUGAAACCAUUUUCCAGAAGUCCUCCUCACAGCUGCCAAAUCUCAUCGAUGUUUCUGUUGGUUUUGGUUUUCUUGGGAGUGGUUCUGAGACAUCCCAGCUGAGAAGCAAAGUCCUUUUCACCAACGCAUGCUGUCGGGUUGCUGAUGACUUUGGCUGCAAGGCAGCUUUGAUCAGGACCUCUACACUGGUAUUUGUUGGAGAACGGUAUUUUCCAGUCUUAACUGAAAUGAAUUUGUGUGCUCAACAAUCAGUAGAAAUGAAGAAAGAAACACAGACAUACGAAGAGAAAGUAUGA
rnacentral:lncRNA from 1 species